rnacentral:rRNA from 1 species
AUGGAGACUUUUAGCUUUGAGUUCAUCCUGAAGAUGAUGCUAAAAAUCCUUCACAUGACAAAUGAUUUGUCUCUUCUAUUGCAAAAGAAGGAUCAAAAUGUUGUUCAGGCAAUGUCAUUGGUUACGGAUGUGAGAACACGUUUGAUCAAUUGGAGAAAUGAUGGUUGGGAGCCACUCUUGGAAGAUGUCAAAGCCUUUUGCACCAAAAAUGACAUUCCAAUACCAAAUAUGGAUGACAUCUUUACAAAGUGGGGAAAAUCAAGAAAAGGUGGACGAAACAAUGUAACGGCUGAUCAUUUUUUCCGUGUGGACACCUUCUAUGUUGUCAUAGACUCCAUCACCACAGAGUUUGAUCAUCGUUUUAAUGAGGUAUCUUCAGAGCUGCUCCAGAACUUCUCUUGUCUUGACCUAAGACACUCCUUUUCUAGGUUCAAUGUGAAUAAGCUUGCUAGACUCACAGAGAUUUAUCAUGAGGAUUUCUCAGAUUAUGAUCGUGAACAUAUAGUUGAUAACCUAGAGCUAUUCAUUAUCCAUAUGAGAAGAAUUGAAGACUUUAGAGCUUGUCAUGAUAUUGCAAGUCUAGCUAAAAAGAUGGUUGAACUUGAAAGGCAUGUCAUGUUUCUUGCUGUUUAUCGCCUCCUUGAGUUGGCAUUGCUACUACCAGUAGCGACGGCAACAGUUGAAAGAGCCUUCUCAUCAAUGAAAAUCAUCAAGACUGAGUUGUGCAACAAGAUGGCUGAUGGUUGGCUUAAUGACUUGAUGGUGUGUUACAUUGAGCGAGAGAUCUUCAAAAGUAUUGAUCUCGGUAAAAUUAAGGAAGAUUUUCAGAAGGAGGGUAGGGCACUGCCAUUGCCUGGGUCUUCUACACGCCAUUAA